AUUUACAGUAUUAUUUAGAUGUAAUACCGACCGUCAGACCUUUUAAAAUUGUAUUAACUGUUUAUUAAACUGUUAAAUAAUCCAAUUGAACGGGUUGAAACGAAGACGAAGUUUCAUGAAUGGUACUAAUUGCGACACAUUCACAUCGAAUAUUAAUUGAAAAAUUCAAUUACAGAAGCUAGAAGGGCGAGAAGCGAUGCACUCACGAAUUGGCGCAAAAAUUCUGUGAAACAUUGCCAAAUACUCGAUAGAAACAUCUUCUCGACGCCGUUUUUGUUCCAUUGUGAACAAACGCAGCAACCAACAUCUAAAUUUUCAAUGAAUAUGCGUUGCAUCACAUUUUUUGAAAUACCCAUCAUGUCUACUAGCUCAUGAGCUUUCAGUAGACGAUCAUCCAGUACCGCUUUGUUGAUUUUCUUCGGCAUUUCUGGAGUCGUCAACUCAUUUGGUCCACCACUGCGAUGCUGGUCCUGGCAGGUCGUACCGGCCUCGUUUAAACUCUUCCAGCCAAUAUUUUACUGUUGAUAACGAAGGAGAAGUCUUACUCAGAACAGAAUCUAGUUCAGCUUUUAUAUUGGGUUGGGCUACAACCUUACAAAUAAAAGUAUUGUAUCACAUAACGACGACCAAUUUUCUCCAUGAGAACGUUCACUAUUGAUGGCUGCCAAACAAAUACUAACCAACGCGGCAUCUUAAAACUAAUUCGAGAAGUAUUAAAUGUGGAAUUAUUCUAUACAAUAUCUAGAUCACUCUGAUGACGAUUUCAUCUGCUUCCUCUAUCAAUAAUAACUAUUAAUUCCUCAAAUAUUUGGAUUGUUAUAUCUCUGUAGCAAUUCCAAAAUAAUUAUUCAUAUUUCUUUGAAUGAUGAAUAAUUUCUUAGUAAAUCGUCAUGUAAAUCUUAACGCCCUUCGGAAAUGACUUCUUAACGGUAUACCGACAAACCCGCCUCUGAUUUCAAAACACCAAAAUACUCGUCUUUAACAACAGGUAUGAAAUAAGCGUAGCACGAGUCUUGAGGGGUCCGGAGGGGUGAGGUAGGACCAGAAACGCGUGCCCUACACCCUUUACCUUUCACUCAAUGCUGGUAACAAAGAGACCGCCAGCUGCAUCUACUGCAGACUUGCACCGGGGGAAACUUGUAGCAUUUUGAGAGAAAUAAGGACGAGCAGUGGUUUCUAUUUUGAAGGGUCGAGAAAUUUAUUGAUUAUACUUCCUGUUGUUUAAAUACAAUGUGUCUACAGAAAAAAAUUUAAAAACUACGCCGUCCUUCUAUAAUAACCUUAUAUAAAACCAUCCAUUCGUAUUCUUCGGUGUUAUUCAAUUGAAUAUUUUUUAAGAAGAUGUUUUACUAGACAUAACAACUUUUUUGUCUUAUUUUAUUCAUUUGAAAAAAGUGUACAAUAGAAAUCAGGUAUCCAUGUAUGGAAUAUCAUAAAUUGUGGAAUGUUUUAUCAAAAAUACUCAAUAAGCAAACAAAAUGAAAAUAGUAGUCAGCUGAUUGUUUCAUGUAAAACCUCGCAUCGGUUUUGUGCCCAUUUUUAUUACGUUCAAGCUGAAAUACUAGGGAGAAAUCUAAUUACUUUCGGCUUAGCAACCAACCUGUUUAUCGAGCUCAAAGGCAACUGAAAAUAUUUCUAUUAGGUGUGUUCCACUGACCACUUUUUUCUCUACACUUUUUGAGGUUAGGAAUUUGUUUACUUUUACUUCACAUACUAUUUUAUUUAUAAGAAUGUCGAAUGAAAGAAACCCAGACCCUCAUAUUAAACACCAGUGUCCAUCUGUCCCAAUUGAAUUAGUCCUUUAGCAAAAAUCUAUGCUGGAAAAGCUCAAUAAAAUAUAUUCAUCGAAAAGUUUGAAUUCAUUUGCAUAUUGUUGUUAUUUUCAGUGGGUUUGGGUUCUUUGUUGAGAAAUGAUUAAGUUCAAAAUUGACAGUUUAUUGAACAGUGUUUCAAAAUCUACAUAUUGAAACGUUUGACAAUAUUCGUUUUGAUUAACGAAACUCUUGCUAAACAAUCGUCGGGUUAUUGCACGUUUUCCUGUCACCAUUUUAUUUCACUUUGUACUGUCACUUGACAUAUCAAAAAGUGCUUAUCGCCUGCCAACUUAACCAAAUUAAAAUUAACAUGAACAGGGUUACCAACUUUGACUCUAUAUAAAACAAAAUAGUGUGAGAUAGUGAUAGGUCGUGUCAGCUGUCAAUUUGAUCAAUUCUCAACAUAUAUACUAUAACUAGUUUUUUUUUUGGAAAGUUUUCGCUUUCUACUUCUAAUGUCGUUUUAGAAACGUUUCACGUACAAAGAAACGACAAAUAUGUCAAUGGUAAACCAGCUAAACAAUUUUGAUUCAAAUUCAAUGCAAAUGUAAAUAAUUUAAUUGAGGCUACUACAUAUUUUCGAAAUAUAACAACUAAAGAUAAAA